UUUAUUCUUUUUUUUUUUUUUUUUGGAAUUUUCUCAAAAUUUAAAAUAAAAUUUUUGUCUACGCGUAUUCGUGAAAAAGAGCUUAAAUAUAAUGUCGGAUGUCUGGUCCUAGAUGGGAAUACGGAAGUUUCUGUAUUUCUCAUCUGAACAGAAAACUUGCUGUUACUGAAUAAUGCGCCUAUGCUUCUGGGCGUGCGCUUGACCAUCUCGAUUGCCUGGAGCAUCUGGAUUGGACUGAAAUGCAGCUGCUGCAGCAAUCAACAGGUCAAUAGCAAAUUAAAUAAACACAUACAUAGCUAAACGAUAAACGAAAAGCGAUUUUCAUCAACAACAACAACAACAACAACAAUUGUUGCCCACUAUCAAUAUCGACAAUUUGAAGAAAAGAAACGAGCGCCAAACACGAAAUAUGUUGAAGGGACAUCAAAUGCUGAAGCUAAUGCUGAUGCUGGGCUGCUGCUCAUUGGCCAUGGCCAAGCCGCCGGCUGCCGCUGCAGCCAAGCAGGAAGCCAGCAGCCAGCCAAAAGUGGGCGACAGCGAAAGUGACACCUCGAUCAAGAGUCGACCUGGCCGCGGCCUUUCGCUUUGAGAAUUGUGGUGCAUAAAGUCAUCAACGGCAAAAACAACAGCGAAACGAGCCAUAGCAUUAGCUUGAACCGGUUGCAGGGUGAGCGAAAGAGACAGAUAGAGAGGGACGAGACCGAGCGAACGGGGGGCAGCUGAUGGCUUUGAUUUGUGGCAUCGCUUUCACUUUGGCAGCUGCUGCUGCUGUUGCCACUCUCGUUGCCAUGUCUCUUUUGUAGCUUGUUAUGGGCGUCGCGUGGGCGUGGCAAGCCUCAAAUUUUUGCCCCGCUUCAUGGUGAUUUCGGCCAAGAGCAAGCCAGCUCAGCUCAGUUCAAGUCACCUCAGCUCAGCUUUACAGUUGUAAUUGAAUCGCAUAUCGUUGCACACCGAACUUGAACACACAAUUAAAAUGAAAACGAAAAAGAAAAUAAAAAAAAAAAAAAAA
rnacentral:sRNA from 1 species